GAAGGGGGAACGGAAAUGAACAUGAAAAACGACAGCGCAUCUUUCAGCGCCCCAGUCCUAACAUUCUUUGGAUCUGUUGAUAUUCCAGGAACAAUCCUGGCUCCCUGUACCUUUAUCCUUACCAAGUCACUACGCACGUGGAAGUGGAACUUUGUUUUCCUGCAGCUUCCCGCGCCGCGGGAGUGCGCCGAGGAGGGAAGAGACAGAAAAGCCAAAGAAACGAGGAGCGCACAAGUGGUUAGCCGCACGUUGGGUGGUCGCGGACAGUCGCUUUAAAAAUCACCAUUAUUCUGUCAACUCGGUGCUCCUAGGAGCCAAUAAAGGAACCGGUGGAGGAGUUGUCGCCUUCCGUCCCCCACCAACCCCUAAGGUCCCAGGACUCACCGCUGCUCAGCUCGUAGCCAAAGAGGGGGCUGGCGCCCAUCGGGGCGGUGGUGGCGGCGGCGGUGAUCAUGCAGUUCCAUCUCUCGUGUCUGAACUGGUUCCUGCACUCCUGAAUGCCCAGCCGGGCGCCCUCCCGGAUGCUCGGCAGCAGGGGAACAGCACGAGCAGGGCUGCCCACAGCGCGCACAAGCGGGCCAGUCCCAGGAGCGCCGCCCUGUCCAUGGCCCCCGCAUGGAGUCCCCCAGCCCAGCCGCUCCUCUUUUGCACCCCCUCCCCAGAGGCCUUUCGGUCCGCAGGGAGCUGUAGGAGAGGUGGAGAGAGCAGCUUGGGGAUCUCCUCCUGCACAGGGGUGGAGAUGUGCAGGAGAUGCGGGAGCGCCCCUCGCAUUCCUAGGUGAGAAACUUCUGUUGAUGUAUCCGCGUCUCCAUCGCCCCCGGCCUCUCCUCCCAUCUCCUCCCCCUGGCCGCGCCUGGAGCCUGAUUGGCUGAGCAGCGGCCCCGCAUCUCAUCAUCUCGGGACCUCAGGCUCUUAUUGGUGGAGAGCGGCUCCGCGGGGGGCGCUCCGGGCCCUGGCCUCAGGGACAGCGUGUCCAGACCUGGGUGUGUCAUGACCUUUCCUGCUGUCACAGUCUCCUUAGAAUGGGUGGUUGUGGGGUUGAUUCAACCCGAAGACUGACAGGACGCUCUGUCUUAGGAACCUUGGGGGAAAGCGUGGGUUUGAUGAGUCCCACCCAUCACACCAACAUCUGGGUUACCCUCUGGGUGUAGUGGCUGGAAAAUGUCACUGACCUUUUUUUCUUCUCCUUCACCUCACAGGAGAAUAAUCUUUUUGAGUCAGAGUUGGUACCAAACAAAUUAACCUUCCAGUCCCCUGCUUGAGGUCCCACUGUCAGGAGACUUUAGAGAGUGGGUGAAGUGCUGUCAGGCUUACAAUCACUGUCAUUUAUGUAUGCAUUUAUUUUGAGCAAAAGAGAAGAUUCCAGUCUAGCAUCUCGUCUGCCAUAUUUCAAUCGUGCUCUGUGAUUUCCUUUUCCCUGUUUGUCUUAUUUCCUGCAGUCCCUGAGAACGCUGUAAGUCCCCUGCAGAAGAUGGGGACGAAGAUAGUGAGAGGUUUCUGGAGAGUUCUAGAGUACAUGAUAGAUGUGCUCUGACCUUUUUCUCCAGUCCUACCUUACGAUUCUCAUGGUGGGAGGGUCCCCGCCCUUCUCCCCCAACCUCAGUUGAAAGUUCCCUAGGAUCGGGCACCCCUUUGCCACCUACCCGUUGCGUCCCUGCAGGACAGGGCUACACAUGGAAGACAUAUUUUUUAAAACGUACUUAUUAAAUACCUGCUGUGUGCCUAGUCCUGUGGGAAUUUAUAAAGACAAGCUCUCUUCCCACAACUGUGCAAAUAAACCAUACACAAGUAUAAAAGAAAAUACGUUUAGAUGAUCAGUAAGAGAGAUUAAAGAAUCUAGCAGGGUACUCCCUGGAGCCGAAGAUAGUUCGGAAGCAGGAAGUGUUCCAGUUACUGGCAGAUUUGGAAGGUUAGUUAAUCAGUAUUUUGUAGGAUGGAAGGUCUCCAAGAGUUAUCUGAAGGCAAGUGCAAUGUGUUUAGCUGUGGUAUUGGAAAAGCCUGCCUCACCUAAUUAGACACAAGAAAUAUUUCUAAGAAGCAUUAUCUGUCCUUAGAGAUCUUUUGAAGUGUUAAUACAUUCCCAUGGUGGACAUAUCAGCUCAGUGGGUACCCAAAGCCAAAAUUACUUAAAUAAAGGAUUUGGGGCCAGGUGCAGUGGCUCACACCUGUAAUCCCAGCACUUUUGGAGGCCAAGGUGGGCGGAUCACCGGAGGUCAGGAGUUCAAGACCAGCAUGGCCAACAUGGUGAAACCCUGUCCCUGCUAAAAAUACAAAAUUAGUUGGGUGUGGUGGUGCAUGCCUGUAAUCCCAGCUACUCGGGAGGCUAAGACAGGAGAAUUGCUUGAACCCAGGAUGUGGAGGUUGCAGGGAGCUGAGAUAGUGCCACUGCACUCCAGCCUAUGGCACACAGUGAGACUCCGACUCAAAAAAAAAAGGAUUUGAUAACAUUAGCUGCUUAUCUCCUAUAUCAAUCAGCCUAGAGCAAUAAAAGCUCACUGAAAUUUUCUUCCUAUCCCAUUCACUUCCUUAUACAACAACUGUUUAUUGAGUGUACACUAUGUACCAGGUUCUAAAGCCACAUUUUAAAGAGUCAAGGAGUCAAGUUGAUGAUAGGAUGUAGAUACUGAUCCAGAAAUAUUUUGGCUAAUGGCUAGUGGCCUCUCUGAAAGUCAGAGCCUUCAUCCAAGCUCACUUUAUUCUGUGAGCUUCUCCAAGAGGGACCGUGGCGGAUUCAUUGCUGUAUCCCUGCCAUUGGGCCUACUACAUGAGAUCCUGUUUUUGAACAAAAUUUAUUGAGUGAAUUAACAAUGAGGAACAUCCUGAGUGGAUACGUAAGAGGCCUAAAUGCUGGAAUUACAGUAUUUACUUCAUUUCAAGGGGAAUUGGAAGUGGGGAGGCAAUCUCGGGGUUGGGGGUGCUGGACAAUAUCCAUACCUUAGGCUGAUUUUAGGGCCAACAGUGGUAGAUGCUUUAAAGAGGUGUUUGAUUUCUUAAAAAAUCAAAAAUAUAUAUUGAGUCUCUGUUAUGGGUAAGAAAGUGGGGAUAGCACUUACUCAAAUGAUUGUGGAAUUCACAGUCUACUUGGCAAGACAGACAAGGGAGCAUGCAGCUAUAAUACAUGCAAUAAAAUGUACGAAGUAGAGUGUGCUGUGAACACACAAAGGAAGAUUACUUAUUUCAGUCUUGGGGAUCAGAGUGGGGAGGAGACACUUGAAUGUUACCUUCAUUAUUAUUUUGGGGAUCUAGCACCAUCUAGGCAUCCAGAUAAAGUCUUUGGGGUACACUCAGAGGCUAUUCUGUCCUGAGAGUCAGAGACCACUGUGUCAAACAUUUUCAAACACAAGACACAACUUUAGGGCCUGAGUGGUCUUGCACCUCUUUUGUAUGGGCUAGAGCCUUAGGGGUCAUUCUGUCCCUAUCUCCAAAGCAAAGGAGACAUAUUUCUAGGAGCUGACUCAGCUGAAGAAGCAGACUUUUCAUUCAGUGAACAGACAUUUGAAUAAUAAUUUUGUUCCAGGAAUUGUGAACUUUCAUGUUCUGAGAGCUGCCAUACACCCCCAAAUCCCUCUUACUGUCUUUAUUUGCCUGUCUGUCUCUGUCUCAUUCUCCAUCUUUCUCUAUACAAAAUUCAUACUCACUUUACAGAUGAGGAAAUGAAUUUGGAGAGAUUAAGAAACUUGCUCGAGGUUACUCAAAAACAAUCAACAUUUAGAGGCCCCUCUUUUUUUUUUUUUUUUUUUUUUGAGAUGAGGUAUCACCCUAUUGCCCAGGCUGGAGUGUAGUGGCUCUAUCAUGGCCCAUUGCAGCCUCAACUCCCAGGCACAAGCGAUCCUCACCCUCAGCCUCCUGAGUAGCUGGGACUACAAGUGUGCACCAUUAUAUUCAGCUGCAUUUUUUAUUUUGUGUAGAGACAGGGGUCUCACUAUGUUGCCCAGACUGGUCUCAAAUUCCUGGCUCAAAUAAUCCUCCUGCCUCAGCCUCCCAAAGUGCUGGGAUUAUAGGCAUGAUCCAUGGCACCGGGCCAAGACCCUGUUUUUUUCACUACAUCAUACUUCUGCAUACCUAAUUCAAAACAUAUAUAUAUAUAUGUGUGUGUGUGUGUGUGUGUGUGUGUAUAGAGAGAGAUAUGUUAGGUGUUAUAUAUAUAUAUAUAUAUAUAUACAUAUGUACAUUUUUUUUUCCCUGAUCAAAUCCCCAAACCUUAAAACUCAGAUUACCAGGUCUUUGGGUCAAAAUUUUUUACUGGUGUCUAUGGUUCCUUACAUUACAGUUCACAGAUCUCUCCAUUGAAACAUUGAAAAAGUUGUUUUGUUCUCCAAAAAUAAACAAAACCCACCAUAGGGAGGUCUUUUGAGAAGCCCCUGUGAAGAGGGUCUCCCUGAGGCAAGUGGUGAGCUGUAUGGGUGCUUUUCCAUCUUUCUGGCUUUGCCCUCUGUGGUUUUUGCAGGCUGAGAGGGGCAGUGGGAAGAGCACUGGGUUGGGUUGGGUAACCGGGGCUCCUGUCAGCAGGUGAUGAUCGUGGACUACUCAUUUCAAUUUUGAGUCUCAGUUUUUUCAUUUGUAAAAUUAUCAAAAUUUCUUUUUCAGAUCUGAAUCUCUUACUGGAGCUACCAUAGGGCUGGAGGGAGGAGAGUGGUGUGUGUGUGUGUGUGUGUGUGUGUGUGUGUGUGUGCGCACAUGGUGGAGAGGGGGAAACUGCAUUUGCUGGGAGACUGCGGGAGGAGGAAACCUUAGCCAUUGACCAGAACUUGUCUACCUGAAAGAUGGUUCAGUCCCCUAGGUGGCAUAAGCCAGGAUUUUUUGGCCCCCAUCUUGUAUUAAUAUCUCCAGCUUCACUUUUGCUUCUGGAUUUCAAGGAAAAUGAAUCCAUUUUAAUUGCAGAAGUCAUUUAAAAUGGUUGAAUUUUAAAAUAUAAUCUUGUCAGAUCAUAUGAAAUUUUAUUUGGAGAAUAUAAGAAGUUACAGAUAUUUUAUCCCGAUAUAUGAAAGUGAGGAGCUCUUUCAUAAUCGAAUUUAUGUCUAUUAAUAUAAAACAUUCAACUCUACUCUCAUUGGAGGGGAUUAUGCUAUUUAGACUUGAUGAAUGAAGUAAAAGACAGAUCAAUUCCAAACAUGUAUACAACUGCACAUUUUAAAUUAUUGAUUUCUUUCUCAGCAAGCAGGAGCUUCAUUUCCUUUUAUUAUAUUUUGAUUGAAGAGAGGACAAAAUAUUCACUGACCAGUAGAAUGUGAGACCUGAGGUUUACUGUACUGUAUAAACUUUUUAAGCUUCUAGUGUCCACAUGUAUAAAAUGUUGUAAAGAUCGUAUCAUUAAUCAUUUAAUAAACACAUAAAUGAGAGCUAAUAUUAUGUCAUUUCAUGAUCUGAGCCCAACUGCCUAGAUUUUGACUAGUGAUGUUAAGAAAAAUCACCAUAUGACUGCAAGUUUGCAUGGUUACUCAAGCACCUGUAGUCUCUGGAUUCCACAUAAAGGGCAUACACUUAAACUCUUUUUUCCUAGCCGGAGGUAAGGUGCUCUGAGCUGUGUUCUGGGAAAAGGAAUUAGGGAGGGGAGAGCCAGAUUUCAAGCAUAUUCAUUUCACUCAAAGCAGCUCUCUCAAGAUGCUGAAUCUGUGACUGUUGUCAUCUUCAAUCCGCUGAGCCAACUGAACCAGGUAAGUAGCUAGACAGCAAUAAAUCCCAUCUUCCGCCCAAGACAGUUGUAGAUUGCUAGUUGUAGAAUACAGGGGUGCCUCUUCCUUCUGAUAGUUUUCUCUCAGUCCCUGGGAAACUCAGCAAAAAAAGUCUGCCUGCAGAGAUAUGCCUUGGACUCUGCCUCUGGCAGCCCAUCAGAGGACGAGACUUCUAAGGGCCCUGUUGUAAGAAUUUCUGCUGCAGAUCACAGAGACUUAUGUGCUGGAAACUGAUACCAGAAGCACCCCAGCUGGUCUUAACUCCCAUGAUAGAACAGAAGACCAGAGGUGACUUUUUACAUAACUGGGUCCCCAUCCAUUCUAUUUUAAAUUCCACCUGGAUGCUACAAGUGUGGAACAGAGCACAGGCUUGUGACCACUGGCUCUCAGGAGGGGGUGGAGAAUGGCAUUCUGGAUAGCCUGCUGUCCUUUAGUGGCCAGAAAAACCCGCAGGAAUGACAGACUUGGAGGAACAGAGGAGACACCAGUGAUAGUCCCAGGAGAAAGAGCAGGAGUUGGAAAGGGAUGAUGCUUUGCUUUUUAAAUUUCCACAACCACAAAAGUUAAAAGUUUUUUGUUUACUCAUCCUAGCAAUUAAGGUUCAAGAAGGCUUGUAAAGUGUUAGUAGAA